UACCAUAUAAAGUAUAUUAACGGCAUCGUAGAUAUACCAAAGCUGAGGCGCCUAAGGAUGGACUCGCGUCUGAUUAGAUAGUUGGUGGGGUAACGGCCUACCAAGUCGACGAUCAGUAGCCGGACUGAGAGGUUGAACGGCCACAUUGGGACUGAGACACGGCCCAGACUCCUACGGGAGGCAGCAGUGGGGAAUAUUGCACAAUGGGCGAAAGCCUGAUGCAGCAACGCCGCGUGAAGGAAGACGGUUUUCGGAUUGUAAACUUCUGUUCUUAGUGAAGAAUAAUGACGGUAACUAAGGAGCAAGCCACGGCUAACUACGUGCCAGCAGCCGCGGUAAUACGUAGGUGGCAAGCGUUGUCCGGAAUUACUGGGUGUAAAGGGAGCGUAGGCGGGAAGCCAAGUCAGCUGUGAAAACUACGGGCUUAACCUGUAGACUGCAGUUGAAACUGGCUUUCUUGAGUGAAGUAGAGGUUGGCGGAAUUCCGAGUGUAGCGGUGAAAUGCGUAGAUAUUCGGAGGAACACCGGUGGCGAAGGCGGCCAACUGGGCUUUAACUGACGCUGAGGCUCGAAAGUGUGGGGAGCAAACAGGAUUAGAUACCCUGGUAGUCCACACUGUAAACGAC
rnacentral:rRNA from 1 species